GUGAGGACUAAACAUGUCAACAAAACAAGCACUGGUAACAAAACAUUUUAGAACGUUUGCAGCACGCUGGUUUUCACACAUGUCCCUGUUAUUUCGAGAUGAGCAGCUAAAGCAGCAAGAGGGGAGAAAUGGUUGAAUACCCUUGUGUCAUAAUGCUCCCACCACCACGCCUAGUUCCUCCAAGGGGUAUAUAUUCCACAAAACCAUUCCAGGUGUAUCUCAUGGAGGGGCAGCAGUGGAACAGUGAGAUACUGGAUAAACUUCUAUCCCAGCACUGAAUCAUAUGUGGACACAUUAUGGAUUACUUGCAGUUACCAGAAAGCAUCACAGAAAAAUCUACACCUGGUGGGCAGAUUUUGGCAGAGAGUAAACAGAGAAGCUCCUCUGACAAUAUCAACUCUCCACAAACAAGUGACAACACCUGCAUACCCAAGGACUUCAGCUGCAUAUACAACAAAGAUCUACUCCCUGCUCUCAGUGGUGAGGACACAACCAAAGAUUUCUUCCAAGAGCUGGUGAACAUUCUCCUCAGCUAUGUCUGCAAGUCGUUCAGACGGAGCUCCAAAGUCCUGGACUUCCACCACCCUCACCAACUCAGAGAGGGCCUGGAGGGCUUCAGUCUGGAGCUCCCAGACCAGCCCGAGAACCUGGAACAACUCCUGGUCGACUGCAGGGACACCUUGAAGUAUGGAGUCAAAACAGGUCACCCACGCUUCUUCAAUCAGCUGUCAUCAGGGCUGGAUGUCAUCGGUCUAGCCGGGGAAUGGCUGACGUCUACCGCCAACACAAACAUGUUUACAUAUGAAGUGUCCCCAGUGUUCAUUCUGAUGGAGGAGGUUCUACUGAGGAAGAUGCAGGAGAUUGUGGGUUGGUCAGAGGAAGAGGGGGAUGGUGUUUUCUGUCCAGGUGGGACCAUGUCCAAUCUGUACAGUGUACUACUGGCCAGAUACCACUUCUUCCCUGAAGUGAAGACCAAAGGGAUGACUGCUCUGCCCAGGCUAAUCCUCUUCACAUCAGCACAUAGUCAUUAUUCAGUCAAGAAAUCUGCAGCAGUCCUUGGGAUAGGAAGUGAAAAUGUUGUGGUGGUGAAAUGUAAUGACCGGGGAAAGAUGAUCCCUGCAGAAUUGGAGUCAAGUAUCAUUACUGCCAAAGAUCAGGGUUGUGUCCCAUUCUACGUCAAUGCCACAGCAGGCACCACUGUGUACGGAGCCUUUGAUCCUCUCAAUGCCAUCGCAGACAUCUGUGAGAGCCAUGGACUCUGGCUGCAUGUUGAUGCAGCCUGGGGCGGAGGACUGUUGAUGUCCAAGCGGCACCGUGUGAAACUACAAGGGAUUGAACGAGCCUGGUCUGUGACUUGGAACCCUCAUAAAAUGAUGGGUGCUCCGCUGCAAUGCUCAGCCAUACUGGUGAAGAAAAGGGGCCUCUUGAAAGACUGCAAUCAGAUGUGUGCUGAAUACCUUUUCCAAACUGACAAACACUACGACACCUCUUAUGACACCGGAGACAAGACCAUUCAGUGUGGCAGGCAUGUUGAUGUCUUCAAGCUCUGGCUCAUGUGGAAGGCCAAGGGUUCAGAAGGCUUUGGAUCACAGGUCAAUAAAUGUUUGGAAAAUGCUGAGCACUUAUUCGACAAACUUAAACAAAGACCAGACUUUGAACUCGUCUUCAAAAGCAAACCUGAACACAGCAAUGUGUGCUUCUGGUACAUCCCACCAAGUCUGAGGAACAUGCCACCAGGUCCUGAGAGGAACAGGAGACUCCAUGAGGUGGCACCAAAGAUCAAAGCCAAGAUGAUGGAGCAGGGGAUGGCCAUGAUUGGCUAUCAGCCACUCGGAGACAAAGUUAACUUCUUCCGAUGUGUCUUCUCCAACCCAGCCACACAGACAGAGGAUGUGGACUACCUCUUGGAGGAGAUCGCUUCUCUUGGUCAUGACAUGCAGAAUGCAUCAGGUUUGAGACCAAUUUGUGAAUCAGGUUUGAGACCACUUUAUGAAUCUGAUUGUGGCUCAGAUUAA
ensembl:lncRNA glutamate decarboxylase 1-like